UGUUUGUCAGCUGUGAGAUGCGCAA
rnacentral:piRNA from 2 species